GACGAACGCUGGCGGCGUGCUUAACACAUGCAAGUCGGGCGGAAAGGCCCUUUCGGGGGUACUCGAGCGGCGAACGGGUGAGUAACACGUGAGUAAUCUGCCCCUGGCUUUGGGAUAGCCACCGGAAACGGUGAUUAAUACCGGAUACGACCACUUCUCGCAUGGGAUGGGGGUGGAAAGUUUUUCGGCCAGGGAUGUGCUCGCGGCCUAUCAGCUUGAUGGUGAGGUAAUGGCUCACCAUGGCUUCGACGGGUAGCCGGCCUGAGAGGGUGACCGGUCACACUGGGACUGAGACACGGCCCAGACUCCUACGGGAGGCAGCAGUGGGGAAUAUUGGACAAUGGGCGGAAGCCUGAUCCAGCAACGCCGCGUGAGGGAUGACGGCCUUCGGGUUGUAAACCUCUUUCAGCAGGGACGAAGCGCAAGUGACGGUACCUGCAGAAGAAGCACCGGCCAACUACGUGCCAGCCGCCGCGGUAA
rnacentral:rRNA from 1 species